rnacentral:rRNA from 1 species
GAUGAACGCUGGCGGCGUGCCUAAUACAUGCAAGUCGAGCGAACAGACGAGGAGCUUGCUCCUCUGACGUUAGCGGCGGACGGGUGAGUAACACGUGGAUAACCUACCUAUAAGACUGGGAUAACUUCGGGAAACCGGAGCUAAUACCGGAUAAUAUAUUGAACCGCAUGGUUCAAUAGUGAAAGACGGUUUUGCCGUCACUUAUAGAUGGAUCCGCGCCGCAUUAGCUAGUUGGUAAGGUAACGGCUUACCAAGGCAACGAUGCGUAGCCGACCUGAGAGGGUGAUCGGCCACACUAGAACUGAGACACGGUCCAGACUCCUACGGGAGGCAGCAGUAGGGAAUCUUCCGCAAUGGGCGAAAGCUUGACGGAGCAACGCCGCGUGAGUGAUGAAGGUCUUCGGAUCGUAAAACUCUGUUAUUAGGGAAGAACAAAUGUGUAAGUAACUAUGCACGUCUUGACGGUACCUAAUCAGAAAGCCACGGCUAACUACGUG